rnacentral:rRNA from 1 species
AAGCGGCGGACGGGUGAGUAACGCGUGGGUAACCUGCCCUGUACACACGGAUAACAUACCGAAAGGUAUGCUAAUACGGGAUAACAUAAGAAAUUCGCAUGUUUUUCUUAUCAAAGCUCCGGCGGUACAGGAUGGACCCGCGUCUGAUUAGCUAGUUGGUGAGGUAACGGCUCACCAAGGCGACGAUCAGUAGCCGACCUGAGAGGGUGACCGGCCACAUUGGGACUGAGACACGGCCCAA